CUGGCCGUCGGGCAUGUUUGGCCGUUUUUACGCCAUCCUCGGAUUUCUAUUGAACGACCUGUGCGAGGAUGUACGAGAUCGAGUAAUGUAUACGCAGUACCAAGGAACAGGAUUUCGGGAUGAGAGGGCUUGCCUGCGGGACAGAGGCAACAUCUCAACUUGCAUCACCAGAUGCAAAUGCAAACACAGGAUGGUUGGUCACUAAUCAUCAUGAUCACCUUGACAGGAUGAGUCGGUUGACUCUUAUAAGGAACAUCUUAAAGGAAAACUAAAGAGAAGCACUAAAUCCACUUCGACUGGUAAAGUAUUUUUUCAAAAUAACACUUUCGUUAUGUUUCGCAGUAAUAGGUAUUAGCAGUGAAAAUGAGGGUCGAAAAGUGCCACUUUUUUUUUAUUUUGCUAUGAAAACCCGGCACUGGUUCAUCAGUAUUGCAUUACAGAUUUCAAGAUUGUUCUUUCUCUCUCUCUCUCUCUGGCUCAAUAAAUGUUGUUGACACUUGCUAAGUUCAGUCUUUGGCUCUUCUAGAAUGCAACAUAGUCUGGUUUAACCGAGAAAAAUUUAACUAGGUCCAAUCAGAUGCCAUCAAAAUCCAUGAUGCCUUGGCGAGCCAGUGCGGAAACAUCAAAAAGGUGUUGCCACCUAUAUCUCGUAUGAGCGUUCUUUUUAUAUUUUACCAAGCUUACUCUUACGAUAAGAGUGGCUUUUCUCUGGUAUUGUAGAAGGGUAAUCUACCAAUACAGGUCAAAUUAUUUUUCUCAUUAGUGUCCCUUAAUGCAGCUCAGCAAACAGUGAUUGCAAAAAGAAGAAGCUAGUUUCAAUUAAUAUGUCACUGAGUGCCACAACAGCGUUUGCAAGGUUCAAAGAACCUAUGCUGACUUGAAAAACAGGCUGCACCAAGAGUGCAGUGAACAUCUGUGAAAACCUAAACUCGAGAUAGAAAAAGCACCAAAUGACGUACCGUAUUUACUCGCGCAGUGUUCACACUCCCACACAUUGGCCAUAAAUAUUCAAAAUUUUCUUUUUUUUUUCUUCUACGGCAACCAUUGCACCCUCGAAAAGUUUCUGGAGAAACUGUCAUCUGCUUUUUCUGACCGGCGGUGACAAUUGCACAUGGCUGCCUUUGAGCUCUAGCAAUUUAGCCAAUAAAGGGCCUUUGCGAUUCCUGCUUGUACAAAGGUAAAUUCCUGCUUGUACAAAGGUAAGUGAUGUUUGGAAGUAAUCUUUUUCUGUUUUAGCUUACAGUGGCUGGAAUCAAAACUUCAGUUUACAGCCACCUAAUUUUUUUUAUUUUAGCACCUAUCACAUUCUCUCGAAAAAUUUCCCCACGUCAACUGGCAUCAAUUUUGCACAGAAACAAGUGCACGUAUCAAGUAAAUAUGGUAACUGAAUGCUUCUCUCUAUGUUCCCCAAACACUCAAGUAAUGCGGACAAUGUUUUCUACUGCAUUAACAAUAGUGGGUGAAAAACAAGGGUAUAAUGACAGUGCAGGCUUAGACCCUGUGCGUUCAUAUUAAGGCUGCUCAUGGAGAUUACAGGAAACCGACAACCAAAUGUCAAUGCAAAUCAGCGUUCCCUAAUUUUCAAGUUUCCCCAUUAUCAAAGUGAGAUUUCCAAAACCUGGAAAGUGGGAGACACUAAGGAGGAACUUUACUGACUUGUAACAAUACCAAGAUUAUAGAUUAUUACGAAUAAAAAAUAACAAUAAUAAUAAUGCUAUGCAAACCUGGCCAGCAUGUUCACACAAGCCCUGUGCCUUAGUAGUGGACAAGUAGUUUGUUCAAAAAUCCCUAAACUAAAUCCAGCUCUGCAAAAAUGUUUCUGAACUGUGUUUCACUUUGUCACUUUCCCAAUUAUCUCUUAUUGUUUUUUUUUUUUUUCAUUUUUUAGCUACUUUAUUUCCCCCAUUUCUUCAUGGAUGCUGCAAAUUCCACCUACAAUUACAGGUUUAAUGUAUGUUGAACAUUGGUGGCUGCAUUGGAUUGACCCUUGUAGAAACGAUUGUUGAUUGAAUAUCAACAGAAUGGACAGACAAAAGAAUUUUCUACAACUUAUGUAAGGAAAUGCCCGCCAUUAAGCUUUUUAAAAAUUAUGCUUGGUAUUCAACUGAAUAUUAACAGAGAGCACACCAAGUACAACACAAUCCCUAACUGAGAGAAUGCCUACCAUUAACCUUUGUAUAUGGUUCUUGAUAUUUACUGAGUAUCAUUAAAAAAUGUAUUGAAGGCAACAUAAUUUCUAUAACAACCUUUGUAAGGGAGUAAGGGAGGCAACAAAACACACAACAUUGCUGCUGUGGCAGGCGGCAGGA